rnacentral:tRNA from 1 species
GGGGAUAUGGCGGAAUUGGUAGACGCGCUGGCUUCAGGUGCCAGUGGUGGCAACACUGUGAGAGUUCGAGUCUCUCUAUCCCCA